rnacentral:lncRNA from 1 species
ACCCUUUUGAAUUCUGUCAAACUGUGAUGCAGUUGACAUAAUAAUGCAACUCGUCAUGCAUAAUUUCAAAUAGCAUCAACACCCCUCAAUAAAGAGAGAUACAUGUAGGGCACCUAUGAAUGGUCCCUUGGGGGAGCAAGAAAACAUUCAAUAACAUAAAUGAUAUAUGCCCUAACAUAGAGGUCAAGUCCCUCCUCGACAAAACUAGGGGAAUGUCCUUAAAAUAUAGUAAUUUCUUAAGAAUUAUAUCACAUCUGUUCUUCUUAUGAAGAAGCCUCGGAGAUAACAAUAAUUUGUUGCAGAUAUUGGGGUAUUUAUCUGCUGUGCAAUCAUGCCCCAUUACUGGCAUGCCAUCAAUGAAGAACCCCGUAAUUCUAGCCACGUCAUCCAAUGUCGGAAUUAUCCUCUCUUCUCCAAUGAAAAAAUACGAUAGCUCGAUAGAAUAAUGAUCUACUAAUGCUAGUAAAAAAUCAAACGUCAUCCUACAGUCCAUAUUAAUUCUAUGGAUGAGAUCGAAACUCGUGCCUCCCAAUCUCUGGAUGACAACGUUGGCUGGUUGAUAUUCUUUUAGUAGCCUUAGAUGUGUUCUAUUCUUGUACAUUUUUUCUGUCAAUUGUAAAAUUCAAAUCAUAAACAUUAGGACAAAAUAAUAUUAUGACUUGUCAAAAUGAAAAAAUGUUUAAAGUGUAACUUAAGGAAACAACAAUCUACAAAAUAAAGUGUAAUUUCUUUCGUUCUUUUCAAGAAAGACAGAAUAAGAAUGAAGCAAGUUAAGAUACCAGCGAGAGCCAUAAGAACAAGCUCAUCUUCGGGCUCGAUCUAAAUUGAAAAGUAAUGAUUUAGUAAUUCAGGAAACGUCAACACAAAACAAAAGUUGUUCUUAUCUUAAGGGGUCAUCCUUUUCAUAAGCUAUGAUUUUGCACAGAAUAAUCGAAGAGAUCGAAAAAAGUAUAAAACUAACUCAAAGUUCUUAAAUCCUCAACACAAAAAAAAAAAAAAAAAAAAAAAUUAUCGAAGAGAUCAUAUGCACAGAAUAAGGGUGGGAACAUAUACAUAGAGAUCAACCUUUCGAAAACUUACACAACAAAUGUCAAGAUAUAUAGAUUCUUAAAGGAAUCACGGUACACUGUCUAAAAAUUUCCCCUCUUUCAUAUAAAUCAUGAUGUAGAAAUCCUUGCACAGAAUAAUCGAAGAGAUGCCAAAAAAAAAAAAACUAAAGAAAAAAUUCAAACUAGCUCAAAGUUCUUAAACCCUUAACACAAAAAAAUAAUUGAAGAGAUCAUAUGCACAGAAUAAGGUUGAGAACAUAUACACAGAGAUCAAACGUUCGAAAACUUACACAACAAAUGCCAAGAGAUAUAGAUUCUUAAAGGAAUCACGGUACACUGUCUGAAAAAUUUCUCCUCAUUCGUAGAAAUCACGAUGUAGAAAUUCCGGUGUUCUGAAGAAAUCAUGGCGUAAAAAUCAACAAAAAAGUGGGGUUUGUGUUCAAUAGUAAAUCUACCUUUUGAGUGAAACGGUAGAUCUUUAUUUUUAACUUUUUCGCAAUUCAUUUAGGAUUAGUUUGCGCUUUUUAAAAAUACUUGGGGACUAUGGUUGCAAGUACGUCAAAGAAAAUUAAUUCAUUUCUUUCUAAUUUUUUAGUAAUUUAUUUGGGACCCGUUUGUAAUUUUAGUUUUUUAAAACAAUUUAAUUUUUUAAUAAAUUUCAUUGGGACUCGUUUACACUUUUUAAAAUAUAAAUUUUACCUUUAAUAAUUUAUUUGGGAUUCGUUUGCACUUUUUUUUUUAAAUACUUUUUAAUUUUCUAAUAAUUUAUUUAGGAUUCGUUUGCACACAAGGACGGAUGCAGGGGGACUGGACUGGAGCUCCU